rfam:Solanum lycopersicum cultivar Heinz 1706 chromosome 8, whole genome shotgun sequence.
GUUCUUUGCUAUUUCCAUUGACUUCAAAAUAUCGUGAUAUUGAGAAUUCAAUAAUGUAUAGCAAACAACCU